rnacentral:rRNA from 1 species
UACGUAGGGUGCGAGCGUUAAUCGGAAUUACUGGGCGUAAAGCGGGCGCAGGCGGCUUUGCAAGACAGAUGUGAAAUCCCCGGGCUCAACCUGGGAACUGCAUUUGUGACUGCAAGGCUAGAGUACGGCAGAGGGGGAUGGAAUUCCGCGUGUAGCAGUAAAUGCGUAGAUAUGCGGAGGAACACCAAUGGCGAAGGCAAUCCCCUGGGCCUGUACUGACGCUCAUGCACGAAAGCGUGGGGAGCAAACAGG